rnacentral:rRNA from 1 species
AUGAACGCUAGCGGCAGGCCUAAUACAUGCAAGUCGAGGGGUAUGGGUUGCUUGCAACCCAGAGACCGGCGCACGGGUGCGUAACGCGUAUGCAAUCUACCUUAAUCAGGGGGAUAGCCCGGAGAAAUUCGGAUUAACACCGCAUAACAUUGAAUCAUGGCAUCAUGGAUCAAUCAAAUAUUUAUAGGAUUAAGAUGAGCAUGCGUGACAUUAGUUAGUUGGUGAGGUAACGGCUCACCAAGACCACGAUGUCUAGGGGAUCUGAGAGGAUGACCCCCCACACUGGUACUGAGACACGGACCAGACUCCUACGGGAGGCAGCAGUAAGGAAUAUUGGUCAAUGGGCGCAAGCCUGAACCAGCCAUGCCGCGUGCAGGAAGACGGCCCUAUGGGUUGUAAACUGCUUUUGUACCGGAAUAAACCUUCUCUUGCGAGAGGAGCUGAACGUACGGUAAGAAUAAGGAUCGGCUAACUCCGU